AUGAGAACAAGUGAAUAACAAUACAAAACAAACCUUAUUAUUGAAAAAAAACAUGCUGUUGCCACUGUUUUUUUUUUGUUUUCUGAGAACGCUUUUGUGCAGUAAAAUGAGCAGAACCAUUGGUCCUCAAACAUUUUAGUCUUUAGCCAUAUAUAGUAUUUGUUAAUAGUUUGCAUGUGUUUGUGUCUGUGUUUCUGUUGAGUUCUCAGCUUUGCCAGCUCUUGGAUGUCCUAAUAUUGAGGUACCAUGGAAUUGAAAGGAAAUGAAAGAAUAUAGAAGUUUUUCUUGACUUUGUUUUGGAUUAGUGGAAAGUGAAGGGAGGGAGGGAAGUGCAUACUAAUUGCAAGUCUUUCUGAAUUAUUUUUCAGAAACAAAUUUAAGCUUUAUAGGGAUUUAAUUUAAAAAAAUGCAGCACAGGUGAAGCAUCAGUAUAUUAACUUUGAAUAUCUGCACAAAGAUUUCAAUGUUGAGAUGGCGACCUUAUCAAUAGUAACUGGAAAGUGUGGAAGAGGGAGUGAAGGCGACGACCAGGGCUUCGAGUCCAGGUCUCAUCUAGAUUUUGGAAAGGACUUUUUUGAUAGCUAUUUAUUUAGAACUUCUUCUAGAGAAGCAAACAGAAAUUGGUCAAAGGCUUUUGAAGGUUCCAGCAUUAGAAGCAGGAACAGAUUUCGCAUCAGUGCAAAAGUUAAAAGGGGGAAGAAUCAUGAUUACCCGUGGUCAGAUGAUAUUGAUCCAAAUUUCACUGGCAGUUACUUAACUUUCCUGUCUCACUUCAAGCCUCUAUCCGAGAAACCAAAACCAGUGACUCUUCCUUUUGAGAAGCCACUGGUAGAUUUGGAGCAAAAGAUUAUUGGGGUGAGAAGGAUGGCUGAUGAAACUGGCCUAGAUUUUAGUGAUCAAAUUGGUUCUUUGGAAAGAAAGUACCAGCAGGCUCUUUAAGAUUUAUACACAAAUUUGACACCCAUGCAACGCUUAACUAUUGCUUGACAUCCCAACAGACCAACAGUUCUUGAUUAUAUAUUUAAUAUCACAGAGAAGUGGGUGGAACUCCAUGGAGAUCGUGCAGGCUAUGAUGACCCCACUAUUGUGACUGGUAUUGGCAGCAUGGAUGGUAAGACCUACAUGUUUAUAGGUCAUCAAAAGGGUAGGAACACAAAGGAGAACAUUGCACGAAACUUUGCAAUGCCAACUCCUCAUGGGUACUUUUUUUAAUUAUUGAUGGCUUUGCGUAUGAUGAAAUAUGCAGAUCAUCAUGGUUUUCCUAUUGUAACAUUUGUUGACACUCCAAGGGCCUUCGCUGAUCUCAAAUCUGGGGAACUUGGUCAAGGUGAAUCAAUAGCGCAUAACUUGAGGACCAUGUUUGGCCUGAACGUGCCCAUUGUAACAGUUGUAACAGGUGAAGGUGGCUCUGGUGGAGCUCUUGCCAUUGCUUGUGCCAAUAAAUUAUUUAUGCUAGAGAACUCUGCUUUCUAUGUUGCAAGUCCUGAGGCAUGUGCUGCUAUAUUGUGGAAAUCUUCCCAAGCAGCUCCUAAGGCAGCUGAAAGGCUGAAGAUAACAGCUCAAGAGCACUACAAGCUUAAAAUUGCUGAUGGUGUAAUUCCUGAGCCUCUUGGUGGUGCACAUACAGAUCCUGUCUGGACUUCCCAACAAAUUAAGCUUGCAAUCACUGAUGCCAUGAAGGAAUUGGCAAAUAUGGAUAAGAAAGAGUUGCUCAACCACCGCAGGCUCAAAAUCCGGUCAAUUGGUGGCAUCCAAGAAGGCAUUGCGGUGGACCCAGAGAAGAAACGUAACAUGAAGCCAUGACGUGCCAAAGACUGCUGAUAUGGAAUCAGAGCUUGAGAAUUUAAAAAAGAUUCUUGAAGCAGGACCAUCUGAUCAUACUAACAUUGAAUUAAUUGAGAAACACAAGCAAGAUGUAAACCAGGAGAUUGACAGAGCAUUAAUUUCAAUGGGCUUGCAAGAGAAGCUUGAAUCAAUUAUGUCAGAGUUAUCUAAAUCUCCAAAUCCAACUGAUCAGCCCCUAAUUGUAAUUUAAAGGAAGAUAUGUAUACUAUAAUGCCGGAAUUUAAACACAAAUUGUCACAGCCGGGGGCCUAUCUUGGGUUAAAGUACAAGCUUGGCAAGUUAAAUUUGGCUAGCAGGCUCAUUGAGAUUAAAGAGAAAAGUGAGAAACUAAAGGCAGAGAUUAAUCAGAAAAUUCCAGCUGAGAUUAAAGAAAAGAUGGAACUUCUGAAGAAGGCUCAGGAAAGCUUAUCGAAAGGGGAUUCCAUGAGCAAAGAUUUGGUAGAGGAAGCAGAGAGAGCAAAGAAAGAGCUUGAGGAGGUUCUCAAGUCAGCUAACUUGGAAAUUGUUGGGGUGACUAAGAGAAAGCUGGCUAGUCCAUCCCCGGAUUUAAGAAAGAAGAUAGUAGAUGUGAAUAAAGAGAUUGAACAUGAGAUUGAGAGAGUAAUAGAUGAAGCAGGUCUUAGAUACAAACUUAAGCAGUUGAAGACUGAGAUAGCAAAAGGAUCAAGUUCAAAAGAUACAGAAAAAUUGCAAGCAGAGAUCAAGGAGGGAAUUCUUGCUGCAUUAGAUGUCACAGCACUGAAGGAAAAGGUUGACAAACUCAGUGUGGAAUUGUCAUCCUCAAUAGAAAGAGUUACUGAAGGUCAAAUUGGUGCAGAAAAUGGCAAAUGGUGAAAAAACUUGCUUGUUGCACACAAUGAUACAUCUUCUUGUAUUCACAGUAUGUACUAUUGUCUUCUUUUCUUUUUUGAACAUUUUAUUGUAUUUAUAUUAUUCAUUUUCAAUAUUGUUUAUUAACUU